rnacentral:rRNA from 1 species
CGCAGCCGCGGUAAUUCCAGCUCCAAUAGCGUAUAUUAAAGUUGUUGCAGUUAAAAAGCUCGUAGUUGAAUUUCGAGACCGGUUUAUUGGUCGUGCUUUUGUACGUACUGGUAUUAUUGGUUUCUCCUUUCUGACGAAUCUUAAUGCCAUUAAUUUGGUGUUUUGGGGAAUCAGGACUGUUACUUUGAAAAAAUUAGAGUGUUUAAAGCAGGCUCACGCUUGAAUACAUUAGCAUGGAAUAACGGAAUAGGACGUUUGAUUCUAUUUUGUUGGUUUCUAGGAUCGGCGUAAUGAUUAAUAGGGAUAGUUGGGGGCAUUAGUAUUCAAUUGUCAGAGGUGAAAUUCUUGGAUUUAUUGAAGACUAACUACUGCGAAAGCAUUUGCCAAGGAUGUUUUCAUUAAUCAAGAACGAAAGUUAGGGGAUCGAAGACGAUCAGAUACCGUCGUAGUCUUAACCAUAAACUAUGCCGACUAGGGAUCGGAUGAUGUUAAUUUUUAAUGACUCAUUCGGCGCCUUACG